rnacentral:rRNA from 1 species
GAUGAACGCUGGCGGCGUGCCUAAUACAUGCAAGUCGAGCGAACGGACGAGAAGCUUGCUUCUCUGAUGUUAGCGGCGGACGGGUGAGUAACACGUGGAUAACCUACCUAUAAGACUGGGAUAACUUCGGGAAACCGGAGCUAAUACCGGAUGAUAUUUUGAACCGCAUGGUUCAAAAGUGAAAGACGGUCUUGCUGUCACUUAUAGAUGGAUCCGCGCUGCAUUAGCUAGUUGGUAAGGUAACGGCUUACCAAGGCAACGAUGCAUAGCCGACCUGAGAGGGUGAUCGGCCACACUGGAACUGAGACACGGUCCAGACUCCUACGGGAGGCAGCAGUAGGGAAUCUUCCGCAAUGGGCGAAAGCCUGACGGAGCAACGCCGCUUGAGUGAUGAAGGUCUUCGGAUCGUAAAACUCUGUUAUUAGGGAAGAACAUAUGUGUAAGUAACUGUGCACAUCUUGACGGUACCUAAUCAGAAAGCCACGGCUAACUACGUG